CGCCCCCUCUCCACCAUCUCGUCGUAUGACCAGGCAAACUUUUCUUCAGAGCAAGCCAUUACAAAAGUGAUUCCUUCAACCCGAGAUUUAUCGCAAAUUUUAAGUGAUGACUUCAAUAUAUAAUAUCGCUCGAUGAAGAGAAGGUGUUAAGCAAAAUAGGAAUGGGCAAAGAAGACUGCUACUUUGGAAAAGCAGCUAUGCAAGGCCUUGCUAGCCACAUACAUGCUCAUUGGUGUCGUAUGGCUCGACAAUGAAACAUCGCCCCUAGGGUGGCGCACGCUAUAGCCUCAGCUGACAGAAAAGAAAGAGCCCGCUCACUUGCACGAGCAGCAACAAUUUAUCUAGGCGAUAAAGAAACCAUGGAAGAGUUCGAUACCAAGAGGUAUGAUCGGCACAACUAUUGAUCCGAAGGGGUUUGUCGAAGCUGAUGAAGAUACUUGUAACUAGAGAACGAUAAGUUUCAGCAAGAAGUUAUAAGCUGUGGUUUAGGAUGAGAAAUGAAAGUCGUUGUGGAGCUGCAACAAAACUUGUCUGAUAUUGAGUGAAUUAAGAGUGUUUGAGAACAUGUUAUGAAGUAAAAGCACUUAGAGCAAAUUGGUAGUGUUGAAUUUGAUUAUAAAGUUUGAGCAUUCUUGGCCAGCC